AGGGAGAAGGACUAACAGGAUUCCCCUAGUAACUGCGAGUGAACCGGGAUGAGCUCAAAUUUAAAAUCUGGCGGUUCUGCCGUCCGAGUUGUAAUCUGGAGAAGCGUUUUCCGCGUCGGACCGUGUACAAGUCUCUUGGAAUAGUGCGUCAUAGAGGGUGAGAAUCCCGUCCAUGACACGGACUCCCGAUGCUAUGUGAUACGCUCUCAAAGAGUCGAGUUGUUUGGGAAUGCAGCUCAAAAUGGGUGGUAAAUUCCAUCUAAAGCUAAAUAUUGGCGAGAGACCGAUAGCGAACAAGUACCGUGAGGGAAAGAUGAAAAGCACUUUGGAAAGAGAGUUAAACAGUACGUGAAAUUGUUGAAAGGGAAACGCUUGAAGUCAGUCGCGUCGUACGGAGCUCAGCCUUGCUUCUGCUUGGUGUAUUCUCUGUGUCGACGGGUCAACGUCAAUUUCGGCUGGUGGAGAAGGGCUCAAGGAAUGUGGCGUCGUUUCGGCGACGUGUUAUAGCCUUGGGUCCUAUGGCCCCACUGGGGAUGAAGAACGCAACACGCCCUUGGGGGCCGGGGUUCCCCCUACCUUUCCUGGUUAAGAAGGUGGCAAAAUUGCUUUUAACCACCCGUCCUGGAACACCGAACAAAGAAUCUAACCUGGCUGGCAGUGGUCCGGUGGAAAACCCUUGCGCGUAAUGGAAGUGAAAGUUGGGAUUCCUCCGCAGGGGGUGGCACCACCGCCCGGCCUGAAAUUCUCUGAAGGGGCUGCGGGAGAACAUGGUUGUUGGGACCCCGAAGAAGGGUGAACUAAUGCUGAAUUAGGGUGAAGGCAGGAGGAAACUCCUGUUGGAAGCUUCGUAGCCGAUUCCUGACGUUGCAAAUUCGAUCGUCAAUUUGGGGUAUUAGGGGCGGAAAGAACUAAUCGAACCAUCCUAGUAGCUGGUUCCUGCCGAUCUCUCCUCCAGAGAGAA
rnacentral:rRNA from 1 species